rnacentral:rRNA from 1 species
CGGCAACAGCUCAAAUUUGAAAUCUGGCCUCUGGCCCGAGUUGUAAUUUGUAGAGGAUGCUUUUGGUGCAGUGCUUACUGAGUUCCCUGGAAUGGGACGCCACAGAGGGUGAGAGCCCCGUAUAGUAAGAUGCUAAACCUCUAUAAAGCUCCUUCGAC